UGCGCUUCGGUCAAAGCUCGCCGCAAGGCGUGGCUGGACUAACGCGUCCUAUCUUCGGAUAGUGAACCUGGCUCGCAAGGGCUGGGAGCUCGCUUCCGAUCAUUUACUUUGAAAAAAUUAGAGUGUUCAAAGCAGGCGUCAAGCCAUUGAAUAUUACAGCAUGGGAUAAUAGAAUAUGACGUUGGUCUUAUUUUGUUGGUUUCUAAGGCUGAUGUAAUGAUUAAUAGGGAUAGUUGGGGUCGCUCGUAUUGAGUUGUCAGAGGUGAAAUUCUAGGAUUUACUCAAGACGAACUAAUGCGAAAGCAUUCGACAAGGAUGUUUUCAUUAAUCAAGAACGAAAGUUGGGGGAUCGAAGAUGAUCAGAUACCGUCGUAGUCUCAACCAUAAACUAUGUGGACCAAGGAUCCGAGGACGUUACAUGGAUGACUCUCCGGGCACUUUGUGAGAAAUCAUAAGUAUUUGCAUUCCGGGGGGG
rnacentral:rRNA from 1 species